GACGAACGCUGGCGGCGUGCCUAAUACAUGCAAGUCGAGCGCAGGAAGUCGACGGAACCCUUCGGGGGGAAGUCGACGGAAUGAGCGGCGGACGGGUGAGUAACACGUAAAGAACCUGCCCUCAGGUCUGGGAUAACCACGAGAAAUCGGGGCUAAUACCGGAUGGGUCAUCGGACCGCAUGGUCCGAGGAUGAAAGGCGCUCCGGCGUCGCCUGGGGAUGGCUUUGCGGUGCAUUAGCUAGUUGGUGGGGUAAUGGCCCACCAAGGCGACGAUGCCUCGCCGACCUGAGAGGGUGAUCGGCCACACUGGGACUGAGACACGGCCCAGACUCCUACGGGAGGCAGCAGUAGGGAAUCUUCCACAAUGGACGAAAGUCUGAUGGAGCAACGCCGCGUGAACGAUGAAGGCCUUCGGGUCGUAAAGUUCUGUUGUAAGGGAAGAACAAGUGCCGCAGGCAAUGGCGGCACCUUGACGGUACCUUGCGAGAAAGCCACGGCUAACUACGUGCCAGCCGCCGCCGUAAAAC
rnacentral:rRNA from 1 species